GCCCCGCCUUCUCAGAAGCCUAUAAAAGCACAGGUCGUCCGGGCUUCUGCAGCCAAUAGACACCUGCAUCUACCGACAAGACUGGGAACAGAAAGCGACACAGGCGGCGAAUUUUGAAGGUCUCGAAGCCAACACCACCCGGACUGGCUACCUGGAGGCAAAUGACGGGAACAGGCCAUGGGUGUGGGGAGCAGGGGUUUUACUACACCGGAUGACAGCUGGAGGAGCUGAGGCCCCCGAGAGGGCAGGAGAGCUCCCGAGGGCCUUCAGCCCAACAGGAGCUUGAAACUCAACCUCACAUCCGUCCAACUCCACGUCCCACAUUUCCGAUGUGCCUGGGUGGGAGCUGGCUCCGUGGGGGUCUCACCCUGCCUCUCUCCAGGGGCCCCAGGAACGGGAAACAGGAAGCAGUACAGAGGCAGGAAGUCCAUACGUCCGCCUCGACUCAGCCCCCCACAGGACAAGUGUGAACUUGUCCAUCCGCGCCCUCUGUGACAUCCGAAUCAAGUCACCAACACCACGUGGGAUUCCUCGCAGCUUCCUGGCCUCUGCCUUGCUGUCAUCUCGGCUAGGAAGGCACUGUCCCCUCCCACUCUGAGCUCCACCGGGCUGACUGCCUUCUUGCCUGAGCAUCUUUCUGUCCGAGGCAGCUCUUCACCCCCAGAGCUGAGUGUGGUAUUUACAUUCCCACACACCUGGGCUAUCAGGGCUCUGGUGUGAGUUCCCAGCAUGCACAUGUGUCUGGUCCCCGUGGCUCUGUGAGCUCCCUGCUCUGUCUCCAGUGCCCAGUCUGACGCUUGGCACCAGGAGGGGUUCAAUAUCUGCUUGUUGAAUCAAUAAAGACAUCAAA